AGUGAACGCUGGCGGCAGGCCUAAUACAUGCAAGUCGAACGGCAGCACAGCAGAGCUUGCUCUGUGGGUGGCGAGUGGCGGACGGGUGAGGAAUACGUGGGAAUCUGCCCAGUCGUGGGGGAUAACGUAGGGAAACUUACGCUAAUACCGCAUGCGCCCUUCGGGGAAAGCCGGGGACCUUCGGGCCUGGCGCGAUUGGAUGAGCCCACGUCGGAUUAGCUAGUUGGCGGGGUAAAGGCCCACCAAGGCGACGAUCCGUAGCUGGUCUGAGAGGAUGAUCAGCCACACUGGAACUGAGACACGGUCCAGACUCCUACGGGAGGCAGCAGUAGGGAAUAUUGGACAAUGGGCGCAAGCCUGAUCCAGCCAUGCCGCGUGAGUGAAGAAGGCCCUCGGGUUGUAAAGGCUC
rnacentral:rRNA from 1 species